rnacentral:rRNA from 1 species
AGAGCGAACGCUGGCGGCAGGCUUAACACAUGCAAGUCGAACGGGCGUAGCAAUACGUCAGCGGCAGACGGGUGAGUAACGCGUGGGAACAUACCUUUUGGUUCGGAACAACACAGGGAAACUUGUGCUAAUACCGGAUAAGCCCUUACGGGGAAAGAUUUAUCGCCGAAAGAUUGGCCCGCGUCUGAUUAGCUAGUUGGUGAGGUAAUGGCUCACCAAGGCGACGAUCAGUAGCUGGUCUGAGAGGAUGAUCAGCCACAUUGGGACUGAGACACGGCCCAAACUCCUACGGGAGGCAGCAGUUGGGAAUCUUGGACAAUGGGGGAAACCCUGAUCCAGCCAUGCCGCGUGAGUGAUGAAGGCCUUCGGGUUGUAAAACUCUUUCGACGGGACGAUAAUGACGGUACCGUAGAAGAAGCUCCGGCUAACUUCGUGCCAGCAGCCGC